rnacentral:rRNA from 1 species
CGGGACGGGUGAGUAACGCGUGGGUAACCUACCCUGUACACACAGAUAACAUACCGAAAGGUAAUGCUAAUACGGGAUAAUAUAUUUGAGAGGCAUCUCUUGAAUAUCAAAGGUGAGCCAGUACAGGAUGGACCCGCGUCUGAUUAGCUAGUUGGUAAGGUAACGGCUUACCAAGGCGACGAUCAGUAGCCGACCUGAGAGGGUGAUCGGCCACAUUGGAACUGAGACACGGUCCAA